CUUUCUUUGGACCACAAGAAAAUGCUGUAUUUUUCAGCCUCAAUUGCAGGUCCUGAGAAGAGGAUUAGAAAAAGGCAACACAUCAAAAAGUUAAGAGGCAGAAAUAGCUUUUAUGUUGCUGGUAAAUUUAAUGAGAUCUUAAGUUAUUAGACUGGCAAGUCUCAUCUCUUUGAGCAUCUCAGUGAAGACUGUCAGAAAUCAUCAAAAUUCAACACAACAGAGUAAAAGCUAAUAGCCUUUUUGUUAUACCAAAACUGAAAGGAUUGAUGUUCUUAAGUAACAAAAAGCAAUAAAGAUAAAAUACAGGACAUCAAAGAUAUCACAUACAUUCAUAUAUCUCAAGAAAUGAAAGCAAUGAAAGAGCUGUGGUCAGCCAAAGAGGAGCAAAGAGUCAUCUACCUCAAUCAUGUUCAGGAAAUGAUCAGGUCAAGAUGUGGAGUGAGCAAGCUUUUCUCUUUUGUGCCACAUUUUCUGACCCAGUAUUUCAAGCUACCCAAGGUGCGAAAAAGAAAGAAGGCCGAAGGGAAGAAGGUGGUGCUCACCCUUGCUGUCUUGAAAAAGCAGGAGACCAUGAAAGUGGUGAAUCUUCCAUUUGAGAAAUUUGGCACUGGACAGGACAUUUUGGCAUUGGACAGAACAUCCAGCCCAAAAGGGACCUCACUUACUUUGUCAAAUGGCCCCAUUAUACUAGGUUGCAGCAGCAGAGAGCCAUCCUCUAUAAACAGCUAGAAGUGCCUUCUGUGAUUAAUCAGUUCACCAGGGCCUUGGACCACCAAACAGCUGCUCAAUGGGGGCCCAGUGCAAAAUGACGUGGAUGUUGUACCUCGUUCAAAGUGUUAAGCGUUUCAAGAUGGCAACAGCAGAGCAUUAGGCCAAGUAUGAGGUCAUUAUGUACAUGGGUCCUUGUGUGACCACACAGGUCACAGGAACAUGAAGCUAGACCUGAGUGUAUAUUCAGAUAGGUAAAUCUUACAGAUUUUUAAAACUCAAUAAAAGAAAAACUACAUUUCAUGUGUGAACACAAAAAUUGGAAUUAAAUUGGCAAUAGCAUUGGGAUUUGUGCUCAGAGUCACAGUUUACAUCUGACCACAAUUUCUAUAUGAAUUUUUUAAGAUAAAACAGUAAGAAUUUUAGAGAAGGUUUCUGAAAUUUAAAAAUUAUAAUAACAUAAUUAACUUUGAUAUUUUAAUUCCAUGUAAUUUAAAACAUUUAAUAGAUAUAUAAUGUUCCACUAUUAAUUUAACUAGAAGUAUAAAAAUAAAACAUAUAUAAUAAAAAUAUUCUACUGAUUUUUAAAUUAUCUAUAUUAUACUGAGUAAAAGAAAAUUUAGGAAUAUAAAUAAAUGAGCAUUUUUGAACAUGUAAAAAUAUUUUCUUGCUGUUUUUAGGAGACUUUUAGCAGGACAGGAGCUUACCUCUCAUCUACCUCUGCUUGGACAAACCAGUGAUGUGAUUUGCAAAUAGGCUGUAACUUCACCGAAAACACAUCACAGUAAAGAAAAGCAGUGACUUUCAGAGAAUUUGACCUAACUUAGAAUUUGUAAAAGAGAAAAGCAUUGUCCUUAUGCCUAAAGUACAUGACUGUUUCUUUUUAAGUUACAUGUAUAUUUACCUGACCAAUUUGUUUUACUCUGUAUUUUAAGUUAUCAGGUGAAAUGGUUUUGGAAUAAAUUAAUGAGUUGUUUGUUCUGAAUAAAUGUGCAUGUUACAAGUGCAA
rnacentral:lncRNA from 1 species